rnacentral:rRNA from 1 species
GACGAACGCUGGCGGCGUGCCUAACACAUGCAAGUCGAGCGAAUGAAGUUCCUUCGGGAACGGAUUUAGCGGCGGACGGGUGAGUAACACGUGGGCAACCUGCCUCAUAGAGGGGAAUAGCCUUCCGAAAGGGAGAUUAAUACCGCAUAAGAUUGUAGUACCGCAUGGUACAGCAAUCAAAGGAGCAAUCUGCUAUGAGAUGGGCCCGCGGCGCAUUAGCUGGUUGGUGAGGUAACGGCUCACCAAGGCGACGAUGCGUAGCCGACCUGAGAGGGUGAUCGGCCACAUUGGGACUGAGACACGGCCCAGACUCCUACGGGAGGCAGCAGUGGGGAAUAUUGCACAAUGGGGGAAACCCUGAUGCAGCAACGCCGCGUGAGUGAUGACGGCCUUCGGGUUGUAAAGCUCUGUCUUCAGGGACGAUAAUGAGGGUACCUGAGGAGGAAGCCACGGCUAACUACGUGCCAGCAGCCGCAGUAAGAC